rnacentral:rRNA from 1 species
GACUGCCAGUGAUAAACUGGAGGAAGGUGGGGAUGACGUCAAAUCAUCAUGCCCCUUAUGACCUGGGCUACAAACGUGAUACAAUGGCUGAAACAGAGGGAGGCGAACGGGGUGACCCUGGAGCGAACCCUAGAAACAGUCUCAGUUCGGAUUGAAGUCUGCAACUCGACUUCAUGAAGUCGGAAUCGCUAGUAAUCGCGGAUCAGAACGCCGCGGUGAAUACGUUCUCGGGGUUU